rnacentral:rRNA from 1 species
CUCUGUGACUCCUACGGGAGGCAGCAGUGGGGAAUAUUGCACAAUGGGCGCAAGCCUGAUGCAGCAACGCCGCGUGAGCGAUGAAGGCCUUCGGGUCGUAAAGCUCUGUCCUCAAGGAAGAAUAAAUGACGGUACUUGAGGAGGAAGCCCCGGCUAACUACGUGCCAGCAGCCGCGGUAAUACGUAGGGGGCAAGCGUUAUCCGGAAUCACUGGGCGUAAAGGGUGCGUAGGCGGUUUUUCAAGUCAGAAGUGAAAGGCUAUGGCUCAACCAUAGUAAGCUUUUGAAACUGUUAAACUUGAGUGCAGAAGAGGAAAGUGGAAUUCCUAGUGUAGAGGUGAAAUUCGUAGAUAUUAGGAGGAACACCAGUGGCGAAGGCGACUUACUGGACUGUAACUGACGCUGAUGCACGAAAGCGUGGGUAGCGAACAGGAUUAGAUACCCUGGUAG